rnacentral:rRNA from 1 species
GAUGAACGCUGACAGAAUGCUUAACACAUGCAAGUCAACUUGAACUUCGGUUUGGGUGGCGGACGGGUGAGUAACGCGUAAAGAACUUGCCUCACAGAUAGGGACAACAUUUGGAAACGAAUGCUAAUACCUGAUAUUAUGAUUAUAUGGCAUCGUAUAAUUAUGAAAGCUAUAUGCGCUGUGAGAGAGCUUUGCGUCCCAUUAGCUAGUUGGAGAGGUAACGGCUCACCAAGGCGAUGAUGGGUAGCCGGCCUGAGAGGGUGAUCGGCCACAAGGGGACUGAGACACGGCCCUUACUCCUACGGGAGGCAGCAGUGGGGAAUAUUGGACAAUGGACCAAGAGUCUGAUCCAGCAAUUCUGUGUGCACGAUGAAGUUUUUCGGAAUGUAAAGUGCUUUCAGUUGGGAAGAAAAAAAUGACGGUACCAACAGAAGAAAUGACGGCUAAAUACGU